GACGAACCGUGCGAACGUUGUUCGGAAUCACUGGGCUUAAAGGGCGCGUAGGCGGCCGCCGAGUCCGGGGUGAAAGCCCCCAGCUCAACUGGGGAAUAGCCUCGGAUACCGUCGGCCUCGAGGGAGGUAGGGCAGCUGGAACUUCCGGUGGAGCGGUGAAAUGCGUUGAUAUCGGAAGGAACGCCGGUGGCGAAAGCGAGCUGCUGGGCCUCUUCUGACGCUGAGGCGCGAAAGCCAGGGGAGCAAACGGG
rnacentral:rRNA from 1 species